GGGCGAAUGGUCUAGAGGUAUGAUAUUCGCUUUGCAUUUGUCUGGUUAUUCAUCAUAUUCGGUAUAUAUAUGAGCCGGAUUCCUAUGCUUGCGAAGGGUCCGGGGUUCAAUUCCCCGUUCGUCCA